rnacentral:rRNA from 1 species
UGUUGCUUGCAAGGGCGUAUGGUGGAUGCCUUGGCAGACAGGACCGAUGAAGGACGUUUGAGGCUGCGAUAUGCCUCGGGGAGCCGCCAACAGGGCUUUGAUCCGAGGAUUUCCGAAUGGGGGAACCCACCGACCGUCAUGGGUCGGUACCGGCUUCGGCCGGGGGGUACGCAGGGAAGUGAAACAUCUCAGUACCUGCAGGAAAGGAUAUUCCGUGAGUAGUGGCGAGCGAAAGCGGAUGAUGGCCAAACCUUGCGCGUGUGAUACCCGUCGGGGGUUGCGCGCGGGGUGUUGCGGGAUCGCGUGCGCCGGCUCCGACGGGCCGGCCGGCAGUUGCAGAAAACCAUGUGUCAGGGGAACCGGGUUGAAUACCGGGCCGCAGAGGGUGAGGGCCCCGUACCUGAACGCGCAUGGUCUGCCGAUCGCGUCUCCCAAGUAGCACGGGUCCCGUGGAACCCCGUGCGAAUCCGCCCAGACCGUUGGGUAAGCCUGAAUAUUCCUGUCUGACCGAUAGCGAACGAGUACCGUGAGGGAAAGGUGAAAAGUACCCCGGGAGGGGAGUGAAACAGUCUCUGAAACCGUGCGCCUACAAUCCGUCGGAGCCCUUUUGUGGGGUGACGGCGUGCCUAUCGAAAAAUGAGUCUGCGAGUCAGUGGCAUGUGGCGAGCAUAACCCGUGUGGGGUAUGCGUAGCGAAGGCGAGUCUUAAAAGGCGUUUGAGUCGCGUGUCCUGGACCCGAAGCGGGAUGAUCUAGCCCUGAGCAGGUUGAAGCGCGGGUAAGACCGCGUGGAGGACCGAACCCACCUGGGUUGAAAACCGGGGGGAUGACUUGGGGCUAGGGGUGAAAGGCCAAUCAAAUUCCGUGAUAGCUGGUUCUCUCCGAAAUGCAUUUGGGUGCAGCGUCGGGUCAUUACGUCCCGGGGGUAGAGCUACUGGAUGCUUGCGGGCCCGUAUCGGGUACCAACAGCAACCAAACUCCGAAUACCGGUGACGCGUAUCCCGGCAGUGAGUCGGCGGGGGAUAAGCUUCGUCGUCGAAAGGGAAACAGCCCAGACCGUCGUCUAAGGUCCCGAAGCGUGUGCUAAGUGGGAAAGGAUGUGGAGUCGCAUAGACAGCCAGGAGGUUGGCUCAGAAGCAGCCACCCUUGAAAGAGUGCGUAACAGCUCACUGGUCUAGUGGUUCCGCGCCGACAAUGUAGCGGGGCUCAAGCACACCACCGAAGACGCGGCAGUAUUUUGUACUGGGUAGGAGAGCGUCCCAUGAGGGGCGAAGCGGCCGUGUGAACGCGCCGUGGACUUCAUGGGAGUGAGAAUGCAGACAUGAGUAGCGAGAGACGGGUGAAGAUCCCGUCCGCUGGAUGACCAAGGGUUCCAGGGCCACGUUCAUCGUCCCUGGGUGAGUCGGGUCCUAAGGCGAGGCCGACAGGCGUAGUCGAAUGGAUGAACGGGUCGAUAUUCCCGUACCGGCUUUCAGCCGCCAAAACCGAGGCUUGGAGUACUAACCUCCGGGUCCGGGCUUACUGCUCCUUCGGGGGCGGGAUGCCCUGGCCUGUUGGGACCGAUCCUUGUAGUAGGUCAGCGCAGGAGUGACGCAGAAGGGUAGCCGGCCGCGGAGGUGGUCUUCCGUGGUCAAGCACGCAGGGCGUGGGACAGGCAAAUCCGUCCCGCAUGGGUCCGAGGUGCGAUGAUGGGGGCCUUAUGGCCCGAUAUCCGGUGAUCCCGGCUGCCGAGAAAAGCUUCGGCGUCAGGCUCAAAGCCGCCCGUACCCCAAACCGACACUGGUGGUCAGGUAGAGAAUACCAAAGCGAUCGAGCGAAUCCUGGUCAAGGAACUCGGCAAAUCACUCCCGUUCCUUCGGUUUAAGGGAGACCCCCGAUGGUGAACACACUUGCUGUGGGAGCUUUUGGGGGUGGCACAGACCAGGGGGUAGCGACUGUUUACCAAAAACACAGGUGCAUGCGAAGGCGCAAGCCGCUGUAUAUGCACUGACGCCUGCCCGGUGCCGGAAGGUUAAGAGGAUCCGUCAGCCUUCGGGUGAAGCGGUGAAUUCAAGCCCCGGUAAACGGCGGUGGUAACUAUAACCAUCCUAAGGUAGCGAAAUUCCUUGUCGGGUAAGUUCC